UUUAAGCCCCUUCCCCAGGACACUAAUCCACACCAGGAUCCCUAACUAAAGCCCCCAACUCCAAAACUCUUCUUGCACUGAGGAUUAGUUUCCCAUAAGGUUUGGAAAAGACUGGACAUUCAAACACAGCGUCCUUUUACUUGGGAGAACCUCGAGCAUUACCAAGUGGGUUUCUGAAGUUCCAAAGUGUAGACCAGCAAGCACCUCCAGGUCACCAACCUGUGCAGCAGCCCAGGGCAGCCCGUGAGGAGGCUUGUGAGCAUGCAGGUGCUUUGGACAGCACCGGUGCCUGCACGCAGGGUCUUGGAAAGAACACAAAGGGCCUUGGACAGGACAGCAGUUCCAUUCUGAGCAACCCCUGCCAAAGGAUGCUCUAUACUGUCCCUUGAUUCCCUUCUUGCCACUGUCCUUUGCACCUACAGAGCACAGAACCUCCUAGUGACAAUUAGCCUCCUUAUCCACUGGUGGCAGCCGGUGAGCAUGAAGGGUUAAAAUUUCUAAAAGUUAGUCAUGAACAAAGUCCAGACAUGCCUGAGAGAAUUUGAGAUAGGGCUCACUGGCCCAACUAUCAACUCCCAAGGACACUGGCCAUCUGGAGCCACCCCCUCCCCUUCCUUCACUCCCUGAGGAUGGGUCAUCCCCCUGCUGCAGUGAGAUGAGUUGCCCUGCCCACAUUGCUGAGAUGCUAGAUUACACAUAUGCUUUGUUGAUGUAACUCCGUGCCAAAAGUAACUGUGCACCCUUUGUAUUAGCCAAUUAUGUGUAUUCACACGAAACCCCUGGUUUUCCCUAUAUAAGCUCCUGCCUAGAGAGGCUCGGGGCUUGACUCAAUCUCCUGUGUGAGAUACGUGUCAGCCCGAGAUCUCGUAAAUAAAACUGCCUCUUGUUGAUUACAUCAAGACCGGCUUCUCGUGUUUCCUGGGGGUACCUCAACCCGUGACUGGAGCGAGAGUCUCCCCAAGUCUGGGGGUCUUUCAUUGGGGGCUCGUCCGGGAUAGGAGCGUAACCCCCGGAGAUCCGAAUGCCUCUUGGAGAUAGCGGAAGUGAGGACGCCCCAGCUCUGGGAGAUGUCCCACGAGCCGACUUUUGUCGGGAGGACCCGGCAGGUGACAGUCAAAGAGAUCUGACUGUGACUUGACUUCGGAGGUCGUAUUCAGCUGCCUAUUUAAGUAUAGGCAUGGACAAGUGUGCUUAGAUGUGUUAGUGUCUGUUGUCUGUAUUCUGUUUCUGUGUUUGGUAUCCCAGAAGCAGCUAAGGUUAAGCUGCAGUUUGGGCCAGGUACUGAAGGUACCAGGCAUCUGUGGAAAUUGGUUAUAGGAUGUUUUGUCUUGGUCUUGUUUGUCUGGUUUCUUUUCUGUGGUAUUGUCCAGUGUCUUUUUGGCUUUUGUUUCGUUUUUGGACUUGGACUGACAACUGUGUUUGAAAUCUUGGACUGACGACUGUGUUUGAAAUCAUGAAACUGUUUGCUUUGUUUGUCAAGGAGUUUUACUUGGUCCUCUUGGUGCUUAAUUUAAAAGUUAAAAAUAAUUUGCUUGAGAGAAAUUGUUUUCUGCCGGGGAGUUUUAUCUUUCUCUCUUGAGCCUUCUCCCCAAGGAGAGCUGCCCCUCUCUUUACUCCCAUUGUCCAGCCCAGCUGCUGUUAACCGUUGUGUAUGAAGGACUCCAGGUUAGCGAGUGAUCCAUCUGAAGCAGGCAUUAACAAGAACCUGAAAGCUUUACCUUAGAUCCUGAAGAAAAAUUCUCCCUGUGGCUUAAACAUUCACAGCUUCUAAGGAAGGGACAACACAGAGUAGGAAAAUGUAGGGGCUGAGGGUGGCAAGCAUGCAGGCCUACUAGCAAGCUACAGGCUGCGCGUGGGCAGCAGCGCAGCUCUGGCCAAGUCAGUGCAAGAGGAGUUUCAAGGUAAGGAGGCUGGCUGGGGUUGGCGCUUUGACAACAAAGAUAGCGUAGAGUUAGUGGUUGUAUUUUGGCCCUGAAAAAAAAAAUUCCAGUUGCUGCCUUCAGUGGCCAGACCUUCAACACUUGCUCACAAAAGGAGAGUGUUCAUUAAGAGAAGUUCUUUAAGGGAGCCUGCCUUAUCUGCUGGCCCUAUUCCAAGAGAGGAAUUGAUCUCCAACAUUAAGUAACCUUCCCUGUUAGUCAUCAUUGACAUGGAGAGUGCCUUUGAUCCUAUCCCCACAGCAGCCAGUUCCUGCCCCUGUGGUCAAAAUGCCCCAGGUUGGGGGGCAGAGAAGCCCCUAAAAUAGUUUCAAAGAAUCUGCAACAAACUGUGAAGAACUUUGUUUUGCCAGUCAAAAUUUAGAAUUCAGUCUUUGGCUGUGGCCAAGGUCAGGAUUAAUGUUUUCUUUUCCAUGGGCCUUUAGCCCACUGAGACAGUUUGGUAAAGGGCUGCUACUGAGGUCCUGAAAGUCCCAGGUGAACUGGUUACAAUUCUUUUGUCAGACACUUAGUAUCUAACACCCAGGUUCUAACCCUCUCUCCAUCCUUUUGUUAUUAGUUCUUACUAGAAGCCUAGUGUCCUUCAGAGGCUGGGUUUAUUGAGAGACAGAGCCACUGAGCUGACACUGAAGGGAGGUACUUCUUAAGUAAAAUCUAAGUCCAGAGAGAUAGUCGAUAACAGAUCAGCUGCCUCUCUGCUUGCCUUUCUGUUUCACAGGAACAAAGCUUGUGCUUAUUUCUACAACGGCCUUUUUGUCCCAAGAAGGCCUCCUGGUUUAGCUGUGUGACUAAAUGCUAUUUGUCCUCUUCAGUGGACCUCUAUUCUCAAGAUUCCCUUGUUUUCUCACCAUCCCAUUUGAGAUGCUUGUUAGUAACUGUUACAGGUCUUCUUUACCACCGAGGAAAGAUGGAAUCCUACUAGAGGCCAGAAAAAAUGUUCCAGACACGGAUGGAAGGCCCUCACUUCUGCCUGUUGACUUCAAAACGCCUAAAGGUAGGGAGUGCCAGGUCUGCCACCAGGCUCCAAGGGUGGGUCUCAGAGGGGCUAGAAAAUGCCCCACCAAUUUGGCUAAAGUAAGAAAAAGAUAUAAAGAAAAAGUUACAGAAACUUGAAGGGUUAAGCUAAGUCACUGAGAGAGUUGUUGUAAGUUGCAGAGAAAAUAAGGUUGAUAUAUGGUUCAGGGUCGGUGCACAAAAGUAGACAGCAACUAAUAGCUGUAGAAGAAGAUACAGACAGAGAGACUGAGGAAGAGAAAGAGACAAGAGAGGAACAUAUACUGGCCACAGUAGUUAGGGAACCUAGGAAGAUAGUACCUGGCAACAGAAGAGAAUUCCUGGCUAAAGAUCGGUGUGCCUAAUACGAAGAAAAAGGACACUGGGUCAGGGACUGCCCAAGAAAGAACAAGAGGGGCCACUGGAGAGCUUCUUGGUCCUAGAGUGCUGGCUAUGUACAGAGAUAGAAGGGAAGUGUGGAUACAGGGACCCAAUGCUCUGUGCUCCUAUGCCCCCCCCCCCCAGUGGGUCAAUAUCCAAAGACCUUGAGUGCAAGGGGCUACUGGCAACGAACAAUACUUAUGGACUGCCCGAAGAACAGUGGACCUUGGCGUGGGCCGGGUAACCCACCCACUAGUUCAUGGUCAUCCCUGACUGCCCCUAUCCCUUGCUCAUGAGAAAAUUGCUCUCCAAAAUGGCUUGUGUGGGCUAAAAUGACUGGGUGAGGCCAUGUGUAUGCAUAUCUACAGACUGUGUAUGUGGAGCUUAAGACCUGUCUCAGUGCACCAGUACCUGAUGCUGGGAGAUGUGUGUGUGUGGCUUAGUGCCGUUCUGCCUGGAACACAUCAUUCCUGCCAGCCGGGCUCUGACAAUUAUCACCCAAUCCAGGACUUAAACUGCGGUAGAGUGGCUGAUGUUUUGCCUUUAAAUGAAAUGUCCCAGAGGAUGGGAUCACUGAUCAGCUGACAUGGACUAGAUUCUCCACCUGUUGGGGGCAAUCUGGUCACCUUGCUGCCCAAUCCUGACCUGGAGCCACCACAGCACAAGUGUCAAGCACUGGCAGAAGCCCAUGGGUGGAGGAAAGACCUCUGCGACUGGCUGAUUGACCCCUGCUGAAAGCCGAGGACCUUGUCCACAGACGGGAACAGUUCUCUUCAUGAAGGUCAGAGAUAAGUGGGUGCUGCCGUGGUGGACAACACAAUGUCAUCUGGGAUGGCUGAACUUCUACCCCCCAGCACAUCAGCGCUGCAGAUGCCUUUACCAUCUCUUGGAUGCCCUGGUGAAGCCAACAACUGUGAGUACUAUUCGUUGCUCAGGAUAUCAGAAGGAAGAUUCAGUGGCAUAGGACAGUAACAAAGCAGAUAAAGUGGCUCAGAAAAUGGCUAUGCAGGAGCCUAUCCUGGUUACAGGCCUACAAGAGACAGCCACUGGGAACUGGGAUUGGACUAAGAGACGGCCUCUACAAUCAUCAAGAAGAUACUGGAAGAAAUCUUUCCCCCGAUUUGGAAUGCCCAAGGUAAUCUGGUCAGACAAUGGCCCUACUUUCGUUGCCAAGGUAAGCCAGGGUGUGGCCAAGUAUUUAGAGGUUGAUUAAAAAUUACAUUAUAUUUACAGACCUCAAAGUUCAGGACAGGUAGAGUAAAUAAAUAAAACUCUAAAAGAGACCCUGACCAAAUUAAAUUGACCAUGGAGACUGGCGCAGACUGGGUGACACUCCUUCCCUCUCACUCUCUUCAGAGCAAGAAAUAUCCCUUCCAGAUUCAGCUUUACCCCCUUUGAGAUCUUAUAUGGGGCCUCAGAUCCUCUGACUGUAUUAGAUGAUGUUACUGAACCAACAUGUCAUAGUAAUAAUGAUUUAUGUGUCAGGCUAAAAGACCUACAGGUGAUACAGAAAGAAAUCUGCUCACAGCUGGCAGCAGCCUAUGCCCUGGGGACCCCCGAGACAUCUCAUCCGUUCCAGGUCGGAGACUGUAGGUACAUACAAUGACACGGAGCCCAGACACUCGAGCCUCGCUGGAAAGGACCGUACCUGGUGCUGCUGACCACCCUGACAGCCAUCAAGUCUCAGCCCUCACCAGCCGCAUACUAGCUGUUGGGGCUGAGAGCUGGGACCUAGAGGGACACUCAGAUCUUCAAAAAGCUCCCUAGACUUGCACAUCAGAUAAGUGGAUACAUCAGAGACGUGACUGGGAUGUUGCUAUAAUGCUCACUUGAGGAGUGUGCUUUAGAAACAAGAAUUUCAUGUUUGCCCUGGGUUCCAUCGAGAAAAAUAUAGAGAUAGGCUUGAUUUCUAUUACAAAUGAUGUAACAUUACAUAUGUUAAUACUCCUAACACUUCUUGGGACUGUGCCUCAGGGACCAUAAGUUUAAAAGUUCUAAGAUAGUCAUGACCUUGGUGUAUAGGUUUAGAUAGUGUUCAGAUUGGAAUCCUAAAGACUUUUUAGCUGACCUCCAAGAAUACCUAACCUCCCUCUCAGAGGUAGUCCUUCAAAAUAGGAGAAGAUUAGACCUGAUAUUCCUUAAAGAAAGAGGGCUAUGUGCUGCUUUGAGAGAAGAAUGUUGUUUUUACCUCGAUCACUCCGGGACCAUUAAAGAUUCUAUGGCUAAACUUAGGGAGAGGCUGGACAAGAGACGACGAGAACGAGAAACCACUGAUAACUGGUUUCAAAGCUGGUUCGAUAGGUCCCCAUGGCUUACCACCCUGCUGUCAGUCUUAGCUGGUCCCUUGAUUAUCCUCCUCCUUUUGCUCACCUUUGGGCCCUACAUCAUUAAUCGCCUUCUAGCUUUUGUCAGGGAGCGGAUUAGUGCUAUACAUGUCCUUAUGUUGAGACAACAGUAUCGGGCUGUAUCGGGCUAUACGGGGUGAAGAGCCUCUAGACGCUAGACUCGUAGUCCUAAGAUUAGGACUAUUCACAAGGAGUAGAGGGGAAUGAAGGGUUAAAAUUUCUAAAAGUUAGUCAUGAACAAAGUCCAGACAUGCCUGAGAGAAUUUGAGAUAGGGCUCACUGGCCCAACUAUCAACUCCCAAGGACACUGGCCAUCUGGAGCCACCCCCUCCCCUUCCUUCACUCCCUGAGGAUGGGUCAUCCCCCUGCUGCAGUGAGAUGAGUUGCCCUGCCCACAUUGCUGAGAUGCUAGAUUACACAUAUGCUUUGUUGAUGUAACUCCGUGCCAAAAGUAACUGUGCACCCUUUGUAUUAGCCAAUUAUGUGUAUUCACACGAAACCCCUGGUUUUCCCUAUAUAAGCUCCUGCCUAGAGAGGCUCGGGGCUUGACUCAAUCUCCUGUGUGAGAUACGUGUCAGCCCGAGAUCUCGUAAAUAAAACUGCCUCUUGUUGAUUACAUCAA